AUGACAAGACCCAAGCACCAUGGAGGACUUGGGUUCCGAGAUAUCGAGCUUUUUAAUCUUGCUCCCCUAGCCAGGCAGGCUUGGCGAGUCUUAAUGGAGCCUAAUUCCCUAUGUGUGCAGAUUUUAAAAUCAAAAUAUUUCCCUUUUGUUGAUUUUGUGCAGGCCAAAUUGGGUGGUUCCCCGUCUCAAGUGUGGAGGUCACUUUUGGAAGGUGGGGAUACACUUUCUCAAUGGAUAAUAUGACGCAUAGUCGAUGGACAAACAACACAUAUAUGACAGCAUAACUUUCUUCCCCACCCCUCAAACAUGAAACCAAUCACGAGAAAGAUACCUGACUCACCACAACUUGUUGGUGCCUCGAUUCAGACGGGUGCAUAUUGGGACCGAGCUAUGGUUGCAGAAAUAUUGUUACCCACAGAUGCAGAGGCUAUACUCUCUAUUCCAUUGUGUAUGAAGUAG
rnacentral:rRNA from 1 species